AUGUUAUCAAGAAAGGUUGAGGGAUUAGACCCUGUGAAACCUUAGCAACCCUUUGCGCAAGUAAAGAAGGUGCUACGUUCUACCAAAAUAAUUUUGGACAGAUAACUU
rnacentral:ncRNA from 24 species